AAUCAACGCUGGCGGCGUGCCUAACACAUGCAAGUCGAACGCGAAAGCCCCGCAAGGGGUAAGUAGAGUGGCAAACGGGUGAGUAACACGUGGGUGACCUGCCUUCGAGUGGGGGAGUAACGUCCCGAAAGGGACGCUAAUACCGCAUAACAUCCUGCCUUUGAAGAGGUGGACAUCAAAGCUGGGGACCGCAAGGCCUGGCGCUUGAAGAGGGGCCCGCGCCUGAUUAGCUAGUUGGAAGGUAAUGGCUUACCAAGGCUACGAUCUGUAUCCGGUCUAAGAGGACGGUCGGACACACUGACACUGAAUAACGGGUCAGACUCCUACGGGAGGCAGCAGUCGGGAAUUUUGGGCAAUGGGGGAAACCCUGACCCAGCAACGCCGCGUGAAGGAUGAAGUAUUUCGGUAUGUAAACUUCGAAAGAAUAGGAAGAAUUAAUGACGGUACUAUUUAUAAGGUCCGGCUAACUACGUGCCAGCAGCCGCAGUAAC
rnacentral:rRNA from 1 species